rnacentral:tRNA from 1 species
GAAAUAAGAUAAUCAAGAAGAAACUUCUAAUUUCAUAUCUUAAGCAGUGAAAUUCUGUUUUUAUUUCU